CCUACGGGCGGCAGCAGUGGGGAAUAUUGCACAAUGGGGGAAACCCUGAUGCAGCGACGCCGCGUGAGUGAAGAAGUAAUUCGUUAGGUAAAGCUCUAUCAGCAGGGAAGAAAAUGACGGUACCUGAGUAAGAAGCCCCGGCUAACUACGUGCCAGCAGCCGCGGUAAUACGUAGGGGGCAAGCGUUAUCCGGAUUUACUGGGUGGAAAGGGAGCGUAGACGGCAGUGCAAGGCUGGAGUGAAAGGCGGGGGCUCAACCCCCGGACUGCUCUGGAAACUGUACGGCUGGAGUGCAGGAGAGGUAAGUGGAAUUCCGAGUGUAGCGGUGAAAUGCGUAGAUAUUAGGAGGAACACCAGUGGCGAAGGCGGCUUACUGGACUGUAACUGACGUUGAGGCUCGAAAGCGUGGGGAGCAAACAGGAUUAGAUACCCCAGUAGUC
rnacentral:rRNA from 1 species